UUUCCUCUCUUCUUCCUCUCUCUUUUCACUCUCUCCCCUCUCCCUCAGACCUUGCCGUUCGCCACCCAUCUCCGCGCCGAAAAUCGCCACUACCGGCCGGCCACCUCCAAUCACCCCCAAAUUUUCACCAGUUCUCCAUCUCAACCCCCUCUCUUCAAAUCUACCCUCAAAAUCCUCCAGAUCUCCACCAAUCUCCACAAAUCUACCCAAAUUUGAAACUCUAGCCUCAUCUUCUAUUUGAAAUUCAUCAAGGUUGAAUCGCCUUUACCCCCACAAUAUAUACAUGAACUUGUAGAUAUUUUCACGAUCUAUCACUUUUCAUUAAUUUCCAUACCAAAUCUGGCGACCAUAAUCUGGUCGAAUUCUGGCGACCACCCUGCUAUCGUACCACUCACCACCACCACAACCUUUAACUACCACAAACUCACUUAGCCCUCUAUAUUAAAAUACAUUCGACCUAAGGACACCUCUUUCCUUUUGGUAUGACGCCGAAUUCAUUGAAUUUGGAAUGUACCAAAAUGAAACGAAUGUUCCAAGAUCAGGCAACCGUUGUCGACGUCCUCAACACCUCAUCGCUGCUUGGCUUAACAUUGAAUCCCCUGUUAUGUUCUUAGUCAUUCCGUCACCACAAGAAACCUGGGUUUUAGCGACGACCUUCUGUGGCGACUGGUUUAAUUGCUACAAAAGUGAUAGCUGUAGUGGCGACACUUUUUGUCGCAACAGAAGUUAAUGUUUUAGGGGCGACUGUACUUAAGUCGCUACAAGUAAGCACAAUUUUUUCCUUUCCCGCGUACUCCAAAAUUUUUAUUUUCCGCUUAGAGCACAUUUGUGGCGACUUUUUUUAAAGUUGUUGCAAUAGUCCUGUUACAGCGACCAAGUCGCCUCUAUUUCUUUGCUUUAAAGUUAAAAAACAAACAAAAAUUAAUUACACCCCGUCUUUUGUUUAUUUUCUUACCAAAUCCCCUUUGUCUCGAACUCAAAACCCUGACCGAGCAGCGAACCUGUGAAAGCAGGAAGAAAACCAAGUGACUCCCUUCUCCUCCUUAAUCAAACCUCACCCCUUUGCCUCCUCCUAUUUUCUCUCUCUAAAUCGCUCAACCAUUUAUAUCUAGAGUUGAAGAUGAAAGAAGAAAAGGAAGCAAAUGAUUUAGUUGAGUACCACGAAGUGGCCCUGUGCUGUUUUCUCUCCUUUCCUAUGAGAUUUAGUAUGAUUUUGGUGGUUAUUGGCCUAGUUUGAUCUGAUUCAUGAAAUCUCUCUUUGCCUCUGGAGAAGGAAGUGCAAAGACAAGGAAAAGUACAACAGGGAAAUGAAGUUUCUCAAGGAGUAGUUUGAAGACAUUGGAGUAGCUUGAAGACAAGAUCCUUUGCAUUUUUCUUAAAUUGUAGGGAUAAGGUUCUUCGACAUGUAGGAAUUGGAACACAUUUUGUUUCUUUCUUUCUUUCCUCCAUGUGUAUAUACGAUGGCAAUGUAUUAUGGAGCAUUCUAUAUAUACUUUGUUGCAUAGACUUUUUUGGUAAUAAAAAGUUCCUAUAUAAUUUUGUUUGCCUA